rnacentral:misc_RNA from 1 species
ACUGGAUCAAGCUGGUCGAAAGCCAGCUCGCAGGCUGACGACGAGUCGCUACCGGACGGUGCAUCCUGUUCGGAACCAUGAUCAUCACAUCGCGUUGAGAGGCGGGAACGAUCCCGUCAAACAUGCGGAGGGGGACAAUNNNNUGGCAGCGAGGAAAUCGGCGAAGAAGUCAGCCAAAAAGUCGGUCAGGAAAUCAGCGAAGAAAUCCGCACCGAAGCGGAUGGCCGCAAAGCGAGUUGUGCCGAACGAUAAGG